rnacentral:rRNA from 1 species
GUGAACGCUGGCGGUAGGCCUAACACAUGCAAGUCGAACGGCAGCACCGUAAGAGCUUGCUCUUACGGGUGGCGAGUGGCGGACGGGUGAGGAAUACAUCGGAAUCUACUUUUUCGUGGGGGAUAACGUAGGGAAACUUACGCUAAUACCGCAUACAACCUACGGGUGAAAGCAGGGGAUCUUCGGACCUUGCGCGAUUGAAUGAGCCGAUGUCGGAUUAGCUAGUUGGCGGGGUAAAGGCCCACCAAGGCGACGAUCCGUAGCUGGUCUGAGAGGAUGAUCAGCCACACUGGAACUGAGACACGGUCCAGACUCCUACGGGAGGCAGCAGUGGGGAAUAUUGGACAAUGGGCGCAAGCCUGAUCCAGCCAUACCGCGUGGGUGAAGAAGGCCUUCGGGUUGUAAAGCCCUUUUGUUGGGAAAGAAAAGCAGCAGGUUAAUACCCCGCUGUUCUGACGGUACCCAAAGAAUAAGCACCGGCUAACUUCGUG